rnacentral:rRNA from 1 species
GGAGGAGUGCAUUUAUUAGAACAAAACUAAUUUUGGUGAAUCUGAAUAACUCACGGUCCUCGAACCGGCGACAUAUCUUUCAAGUGUCUGCCUUAUCAACUUUCGAUGGUAGUUUAUGUGCCUACCAUGGUUGUAACGGGUAACGGAGAAUAAGGGUUCGACUCCGGAGAGGGAGCCUGAGAAACGGCUACCACAUCCAAGGAAGGCAGCAGGCGCGCAAAUUACCCACUCUCGGCGAGGAGGUAGUGACGAAAAAUAACGAGACGGUUCUCUCAGUCAUCGGAAUGGGUACAAUUUAAACCCUUUAACGAGGAUCUAUUGGAGGGCAAGUCUGGUGCCAGCAGCCGCGGUAAUUCCAGCUCCAAUAGCGUAUAUUAAAGUUGUUGCGGUUAAAAAGCUCGUAGUUGGAUCUGCUCGGCGGCCGGUCGCCCACAGGGUUGCCGAUCGGAUUGUCGGCAGUGUCUUUAACCGGAUGCUUUCGAUGGCCGAUACGUUUACUUUGAAAAAAUUAGAGUGCUCAAAGCAGGCUUGAGGCCUGAAUAGUGGUGCAUGGAAUAAUGGAAUAGGAGGUUCUAUUUUGUUGGUUUUCGGAGCUCGAGGUAAUGAUUAAGAGGGACGGACGGGGGC